AAGUCGUAACAAGGUUUCUGUAGGUGAACCUGCAGAAGGAUCAUUAGUGAAGAUUUGGGCAGGCCAUACGGACGCCAAAAAGUGUCCCUGGCCGCCUACACCCACUAUACAUCCACAAACCCGUGUGCACUGUCUUGGAGAAAGGCUUCAGAGAAGUUUUUUGUGGCCUCUCUUGGGGUCUUUCUUCGCUACAAACUCGAAUGGUUAGUAUGAACGUGGAACUUGGUUGGACCGUCACUGGCCAACAAACUAUACACAACUUUCGACAACGGAUCUCUUGGUUCUCCCAUCGAUGAAGAACGCAGCGAAACGCGAUAGGUAAUGUGAAUUGCAGAAUUCCGUGAAUCAUCGAAUCUUUGAACGCACCUUGCGCUCUAUGGCAAUCCGUAGAGCAUGCCUGUUUGAGUGCCAUGAAAUCUCCCACCCCAAGCGGUUUUUACAUGAAACGGCUUGGCGGAUGGGGUCUGGAUGGGUGCCUCUGCCUGCGCUACCUAGCACAGGCUCGCCCGAAAUGCAUGAGCGCCUUGAGACACUUUGCAUCCGCCUCUCUGUUUGGGAGGAGGCGGCCAAGCAGUGUUUUUCUCCUGGCAUGGCAUGAUACGUCAUUUGCUAUGUCGCCUAAAGGAGGAAUGUUUGGUUGUGUCUGCGUGUGCUUCGAACUUGCCUCUGUGGCACAUCCCAAUUUCACUUCUGGUCUCANAUCANGUAGGAUCACCCGCUGAACUUAAGCAUAUCAAUA
rnacentral:rRNA from 1 species